AUAUGCCAUAAGUACAGUAUUUCUGUUGGUAAUACCCCUUUAAGUUUUAUUUUCGGCCCUUGUCAUUGAUUCAGUCUGGCAAUGUGGCCCCUAACCUAAAAAUGUUGUGCACCCCUGUUUUAGAGGAGCAUUGGUCUUACAACA